UACGUAGGGUGCAAGCGUUGUCCGGAAUUAUUGGGCGUAAAGAGCUCGUAGGCGGUUUGUCGCGUCUGCUGUGAAAACUCGGGGCUUAACCCCGGGCCUGCAGUGGGUACGGGCAGACUAGAGUGCGGUAGGGGAGACUGGAAUUCCUGGUGUAGCGGUGAAAUGCGCAGAUAUCAGGAGGAACACCGGUGGCGAAGGCGGGUCUCUGGGCAUUAACUGACGCUGAGGAGCGAAAGCAUGGGGAGCGAACAGG
rnacentral:rRNA from 1 species